rnacentral:rRNA from 1 species
AGCGAACGCUGGCGGCAGGCCUAACACAUGCAAGUCGAGCGGGCGUAGCAAUACGUCAGCGGCAGACGGGAGAGUAACACGUGGGAACGUGCCCUUUGGUUCGGAAUAACUCAGGGAAACUUGAGCUAAUACCGGAUAAGCCCUUCGGGGGAAAGAUUUAUUGCCAUUGGAGCGGCCCGCGUCGGAUUAGCUAGUUGGUGAGGUAAUGGCUCACCAAGGCGACGAUCCGUAGCUGGUCUGAGAGGAUGACCAGCCUCACUGGGACUGAGACACGGCCCAGACUCCUACGGGAGGCAGCAGUGGGGAAUAUGGGACAAUGGGCGCAAGCCUGAUCCAGUCAUGCCGCGUGGAUGAUGAAGGCCCUAGGGUUGUAAAGUCCUUUUAACGGGGAAGAUAAUGACGGUACCCGUAGAAUAAGCCCCGGCUAACUUCGUGCCAGCCGCCGCAGUAA